rnacentral:rRNA from 1 species
CCUACGGGAGGCAGCAGUGGGGAAUUUUGCGCAAUGGGGGCAACCCUGACGCAGCAACGCCGCGUGAGUGAUGAAGGCCUUCGGGUCGUAAAGCUCUGUCAGAGGGGAAGAAAUGCAGGUGGUGAACAACCAUUCUGUUUGACGGUACCCUCAAAGGAAGCACCGGCUAACUCCGUGCCAGCAGCCGCGGUAAUACGGAGGGUGCGAGCGUUGUUCGGAAUUAUUGGGCGUAAAGCGCGUGUAGGCGGUUUGUUAAGUCUGAUGUGAAAGCCCCGGGCUAAACCUGGAAAUGGCAUUGGAUACUGGCAGACUUGAGUACGGAAGAGGAGAGUGGAAUUCCCAGUGUAGGGGUAAAAUCCGUAGAUAUUGGGAGGAACACCGUUGGCGAGGGCGGCUCUCUGAACCGAUACUGACGCUGAGACGCGAAAGCGUGGGGAGCAAACAGGAUUAGAUCCCCUG